UAAAAAACGGAUUUCUACAUAUGAGCAUCU
rnacentral:piRNA from 1 species